AUCAGUUUCAACAGCUUCGGAUCUAAACCCUAGACGGAGAUGGACAGCGCGCGGCUUUUGGCACUUCAGGUGCUCAUGGCUUUACUACACUAUUGCCCAACAGCAUCGGUCAGCGUCACUACCAGCCAUGAGAAGGUGGUGGCCCAUGAGAACUCCAAUGCCGUGCUGUCCUGUGAGUUCAAGACGGAGAAAGACCCCAACCCUCGCAUCGAGUGGAAGAAGAACGGGAAAGACAUCACCUUUGUGUAUUUUGAUGGCAGUUUCCGAGAGCCCUACGCGGGUCGAGCGGCCAUCAUUGGGGCUACCGUGACGCUGCACAGCGUUACCCAGAAGGACUCGGGGGUGUAUCGCUGCGAGGUCACAGCUAAACAGGACCACGUCCCCCUGGGGGAGAUCAGUGUCACCCUCAAUGUCCUAGUGCCUCCUCACACCCCGUCCUGUGAGGUGCCCGAGACAGUGUCGAGUGGCUCUGCUGUGGAACUGCAGUGCGAGGACAAGCAGAGUGUCCCUGCUGCCACCUACAGCUGGUACAAGGACAACAAGCUCCUGGGCGCACAGGCGGUCGACAGCCACUACAGCCUGGACCCACAGAAGGGAACUCUGAAAUUCAAAGCCGUCACUAAAGCGGAUGCUGGCCAUUACCGCUGUGAGUCCUCCAAUGACGUGGGACCGCCCAAGAGCUGUGCAGGACACAAGAUGGAAGUCAAGGAGUGUAGUUGAAUUGAGCCUGCCCAUCCUGAUUGCUGUGGGAGCGGGUGGUUUCCUGCUGCUGCUGCUAUGCUGUCUGGGUGUGUGCCUCUGCUACAGACGAGGAUGCUGCUGCUGCUGCCGCCGUCGACACACACACAAGGAAAGCAAACAGAGUCGAAACCAACCAAACUACAGCCCUCCCAUGCAAGAUCCAAGAUUCUACAAACACACCAAGUCAUUCAUGCUGUAAGGUGUUGACCUGUUUCAAUGAAUGUGCCAAGAUGCUGAUAUGUAAAAAGGUGAAGCCCCUUCUAACUAUUCUACAGUAGAAGACUGAGAUAACUUAGAUGGUGGAUUCCAAUGCACUGGUCCUACAAUAAACCUGCACACAACUGCCCAACCAUGCUCUUUAUUUUAUUGACCACUUACACUUUCAAAGAAAAUGUUACUACCCCUCCAUCUAGUGGUAAGACUUAGAAAAUACACAUAAUGCAUUUGGCUUUUUUUGCCAUCAGUUCUCAUUAUCAUUGUACACUUUGCAAAUAAUCCCUGAAAUGCACUAAUGUUGUUUUUACACAUGUUGAGCAAACUGUAUGUAACGUGCCAGUUUUUUUAUUAUAACAUUUUUGUAUUAAAUGACUAUUUGGAUAUAAUCAAAGUCUCCUGUUGUGUACAACUGUUUCUCACUCUGGUUAUUAGCUGCAAAAGUCA